AUGGCGGUGACCGCCUCGUAUCCUGGAAAGGCCCCGGCGACCCCUCGCCGGGCCGUUUUUCUUAUGGAUCCCACCACGUUCCUCCAGGUAUUCGUCUGGGACGGGAAGCACCCGGUGUUGCGCAGUGCCCCAUGGACAGGGGACCUUGUGAUGAGCGAGGGCCGAUACCAACAGGCGAACGCUAGCACAGGGGUCAUCAUGUACCAUGCCAUCGUUGACAAUGACGAGGAGAUCUACCUCACAUAUAGCCUCUCCGAUGGAGCCCCGCACACUAGGUUUGUGCUGACCUACUCCGGCGAGUUCCAAAUCCAGAGCUGGAACAAUAGGUUGUUGGCGUGGGAGGUCCUCGUGAAAUGGCCCUCCGUUCAAUGCAGCCUAUACGGCUAUUGCGGUCCGUACGGCUACUGUGAUAUGACGGCAACACCUAUCCCAACAUGCAAGUGCCUAGAUGGUUUUGAGCCGUCUAGCAUGGAGGAGUGGGCCGGUGGCAGGUUUUCUAUGGGAUGCCAGCGGAAGGAGCCAUUGGGAGGGUGUGGUGAAGGUUUCUUGGCCUUGCCGGGGAUGAAGCCGCCUGACAAGUUCACACUCGUCGGCGGGGGCAAGAGUACAUUCUAG
rnacentral:rRNA from 1 species